AGGCCUUGCCAGCGACAAUCACCACCGAUGAGCAGAAAGAACUUCUGGCCCUGUUGUGCAAGGUGCACGAGCUAGAGAUCCAGAAGGUGGAGAUGCAGAGCGAAGCCCUCCUGAAGGAGCACGAGCUGAGGCGCCGAGACCUCCUCCUCCUCCGGUACGACAGACAGAGGAACCUCUCCGACGAAAUCAUCACCAGGCAGCGGCAGAUGAUCGAAGCUAUGCAAGGAGGCUCAGUAGGUAAGCCAACACGAAAGUCUUUGUUUGGGUGAUACCUGUGUUUGUUGUGGCUGUCAGAGUGCUCAUCAUUUUCCUACUUUGAUUGCAUCUUGGCGGUUGCAGAGAUGUUUUCCAUUUA